GUGGGGAAUCUUGCGCAAUGGGCGAAAGCCUGACGCAGCCAUGCCGCGUGAAUGAUGAAGGUCUUAGGAUUGUAAAAUUCUUUCACCGGGGACGAUAAUGACGGUACCCGGAGAAGAAGCCCCGGCUAACUUCGUGCCAGCAGCCGCGGUAAUACGAAGGGGGCUAGCGUUGCUCGGAAUUACUGGGCGUAAAGGGCGCGUAGGCGGACAGUUUAGUCAGAGGUGAAAGCCCAGGGCUCAACCUUGGAAUUGCCUUUGAUACUGGCUGUCUUGAGUUUGGGAGAGGUGAGUGGAACUCCGAGUGUAGAGGUGAAAUUCGUAGAUAUUCGGAAGAACACCAGUGGCGAAGGCGACUCACUGGCCCAAUACUGACGCUGAGGCACGAAAGCGUGGGGAGCAAACAGGAUUAGAUACCCCAGUAGUCC
rnacentral:rRNA from 1 species